UGACAAACAAAUUAUCCAAGUGCGUCCAGAUUGCACGACUCUAUUUGGAGGAUGAUGAUGCAGUGAAUGCUGAAGCUUUUAUCAACAAAGCCUCAUUUUUUGUCACAAACAGCAACCAGGAAGUUCUGAACUUUUAAUACAAGGUAUGCUAUGCGAGAAUUUUAGAUCUAAAGCGUAAAUUCUUGGAAGCUGCACUUCUAUACUAUGGUAUCUCUCAAAUUGAGCAACGCCAAAUUGGGGAUGAGUAAGGCUUACUCCAUUCAGUUGUAGAUUUGUUUCUCUCUUCUGCAAUUUACUCAUUUUUAAUGUUCUGUCUUGUAUGGUUCUUUGUUGCCUUGCCGGUCUAGUGGUGCCUAAUUUCUAUUUUACACCCUUCAAAUUACCCUAGUUGAUACUCAUGUUUAAGUACUGCAGUGGUUAUUAGCAAGUCGUGUUUGGAACUGAUAUGGCCUCCAUAUUUUAUUCUCAAAGAUAUUGAUGGAACAUAGUUUCUGUAUUUUCUCAGAUAGAUUGAUGAAAAUGAUCUUUAGCAAGCUCUUAGUCCUGCUGUAACAUGCACAAUAUUGUAACUGAUGAGAGGCAACCACCGUUGCCAACUUGAAAUCAGUUUACUCAUUCAAGUUCUGGAAUUUCUUUAUAGCUUUCUGGGUUUACUUCGAUCUUGCAUGUAUUAGGUUUCUCUUUGCGCCCCUAUCUAUGUCAGUUUCUUGUGUGCAAGUGCUUCAUUAUGUGUGUGUGACUUGUUGGUGAAUAUGUGUGUGGCUUGAUGGUG